GAGGGGGGAGGGGAACGACAUUCAGACCACAAACCAAUCAAAGCCAGCGGCGCAUCACUCAACUUUCCAACUCAAUUCAAAUAAAAAACUGAACGGAAAGCUUCAUGUUCGAAGGUCUGAGGUCUCAAAGAUUCGACAGCGCAAAGAUUCGAAGUGUUCCAUGAAGCUCAAAAUCUUCGAUGGUGUCGUUUGCUCUGGUGUCAACCGCACUUAAAUAGAGGAAGAAGAAAAACGUCAAAGAAGAGUCGAAAACUCACCCGGAUUGAAGAGCUCGGUUCGUGGAAGCUCAAGUGCGGCAGAGCCGAACGAUGGAAGACAACUCAUUCAGAAAGUAAAAUGCAUCAAAAGUUCUUUUGCAGAUUACUUACCGGAAUCCAACGCAGUUCCGACAUCGUUAACAGCUUCGCAAAGAAUGCUUCAGUUCCCGUAUCGAUCCCCCAAUUACAGAAUCGAUGCUUCGGUUGCAGAGUUAAAUUCAGAUUGCAGAGAAUGUUGUGAAGGAAAUGCAGAGAAAUUUGUAGAAUUACAGAGUGAAAAAAAUGUUGUGUAGCCAUUGCUGGGUGAAGGUUUGAUCUGUUAUAUAGAGGAAGGAGAAGUUGCAACUGAAUUAGACAAGUCGGGUAUUGUUAGGGAAGGUUUAACUCUGUUAAAUUUCACAAGAUAAGUUUGUUAGUAGUGGAAAUCUAUUAGAAAAUUAUGUUAUCCUUUCGUUAGUUUGUUAGGUUGGUUUUGAUUCAGUUGGAAAAUGGUUAUAAGUUUGUUACCAAGUUUGUUAGGAGGUUGGAAUGUAAUGAAUUUUUUUUAGUGAAAUGUAAUUUGAGAGUGAAAUAUUGAUGAAAUUCACUUCCUGUUUUUUAUGAAAUACCCUGCUGUUAUGUUGGUUAAUCAGUGAAAAUUCAGUUUGUUAGUUGAUUUAAAUAAAGUUGGUUUUCAGUUUGAA